CGGACGGGUGAGUAAUGUCUGGGAAACUGCCUGAUGGAGGGGGAUAACUACUGGAAACGGUAGCUAAUACCGCAUAACGUCGCAAGACCAAAGAGGGGGGCCUUCGGGCCUCUUGCCAUCGGAUGUGCCCAGAUGGGAUUAGCUAGUAGGUGGGGUAACGGCUCACCUAGGCGACGAUCCCUAGCUGGUCUGAGAGGAUGACCAGCCACACUGGAACUGAGACACGGUCCAG
rnacentral:rRNA from 1 species